GAGCAGUGCCGAGGCUCUAGAAAUGCCAUGGAUAUUCUGAGCUGUCAGUGGCAUUUCCCAGUCAGCUAGGCACUCUGAGUUCACUGCAUUAGGAAGGUAAAGACUCAGCAGAAAUGAGGGAGAAAAAAAGAAAAUUCUCAGCUUUGGAAUGUUCAAAACAGAGGCCACAGUAGAACAGUAAAUCUGACAGCCCCACUGAUGAUCCACAAUGGAGGCAGUUCAGGAGCGGUACAUGCUGGCUCUCGGACAGUCAGAAAUGGCUUCAGCAGAUCCAGUCAGCUAGGCACUCUGAGUUCACUGCAUUAGGAAGGUAAAGACUCAGCAGAAAUGAGGGAGAAAAAAAGAAAAUUCUCAGCUUUGGAAUGUUCAAAACAGAGGCCACAGUAGAACAGUAAAUCUGACAGCCCCACUGAUGAUCCACAAUGGAGGCAGUUCAGGAGCGGUACAUGCUGGCUCUCGGACAGUCAGAAAUGGCUUCAGCAGAUCCAGUCAGCUAGGCACUCUGAGUUCACUGCAUUAGGAAGGUAAAGACUCAGCAGAAAUGAGGGAGAAAAAAAGAAAAUUCUCAGCUUUGGAAUGUUCAAAACAGAGGCCACAGUAGAACAGUAAAUCUGACAGCCCCACUGAUGAUCCACAAUGGAGGCAGUUCAGGAGCGGUACAUGCUGGCUCUCGGACAGUCAGAAAUGGCUUCAGCAGAUCCAGUCAGCUAGGCACUCUGAGUUCACUGCAUUAGGAAGGUAAAGACUCAGCAGAAAUGAGGGAGAAAAAAAGAAAAUUCUCAGCUUUGGAAUGUUCAAAACAGAGGCCACAGUAGAACAGUAAAUCUGACAGCCCCACUGAUGAUCCACAAUGGAGGCAGUUCAGGAGCGGUACAUGCUGGCUCUCGGACAGUCAGAAAUGGCUUCAGCAGAUCCAGUCAGCUAGGCACUCUGAGUUCACUGCAUUAGGAAGGUAAAGACUCAGCAGAAAUGAGGGAGAAAAAAAGAAAAUUCUCAGCUUUGGAAUGUUCAAAACAGAGGCCACAGUAGAACAGACCACGGCAUUCUGUCUGCUACUCUCCCGAGGGUCCUUUCUUCUCCCUGGAAGGGAUAAAACAACUGAGGUAGAACAGGAAGAGACAAGCAGCACUCCAAGCUCUGCUGGUCAGGGUUACCCUCCAGCGUUGCCUUAAUGCUCAGAUCCAGACACACCACAGUGAGCUUGGCUCCAGAUCAACUACCACGCAACGAAGGUUCUGGAACACUUCCAUAUCUCGGGGGACCUCAUUUCCACGUGACUCUCUUUCAUAUUCCCCUUUGUCACAGAAGGCUAGGUACAGUGGUCCGGGUGAGAUCUCAGCUCAGGCCAAAGGCUCUCAGACCUCAAAGUUCUGGUCCUGCAAGGGCCCCUGUCCUCUCUUCAGACCACUCCUGGCUCUCUCUGCCGACAAGGAGCUGCUGGUGGUACGUCCUCUUAAGAGUUGAGGUCCAUCG